GACGAACGCUGGCGGCGUGCCUAAUACAUGCCAGUCGAACGCUGAAGGAGGAGCUUGCUUCUCUGGAUGAGUUGCGAACGGGUGAGUAACGCGUAGGUAACCUGCCUGGUAGCGGGGGAUAACUAUUGGAAACGAUAGCUAAUACCGCAUAAUAGCAGUUGUUGCAUGACAACUGUUUGAAAGGUGCAAUUGCACCACUACCAGAUGGACCUGCGUUGUAUUAGCUAGUUGGUGGGGUAACGGCUCACCAAGGCGACGAUACAUAGCCGACCUGAGAGGGUGAUCGGCCACACUGGGACUGAGACACGGCCCAGACUCCUACGGGAGGCAGCAGUAGGGAAUCUUCGGCAAUGGACGGAAGUCUGACCGAGCAACGCCGCGUGAGUGAAGAAGGGUGUCGGAUCGUAAAGCUCUGUUGUAAGAGAAGAACGAGUGUGAGAGUGGAAAGUUCACACUGUGACGGUAGCUUACCAGAAAGGGACGGCUAACUACGUG
rnacentral:rRNA from 1 species